GACUUUUUCUUUUAUUUACAUUUCCCAUUAUGUUUCAAUAACUCUCCUUUAAGUUAUUAGAUAGAACAACAUUUAAAUGAAAGAACAAGUGGGUUAAAUAAUCACCAUCGUUGCUGCCACCUCCACCUCCACCUUUCUACAAAAAAAAAAAAAGGGUUAAAUAAUCACCAGUAAUGUUCGAUGGAAUGAUGGAUCCUGAAUUGUUUAGAAUCGCUUGGGAACAAAUUAGUCUUAUGUCACCUGCUGAGUUAGCCAGGAUCCAACAACAGGUGGAGGAGGUGGAAGCAAUGAUGGUAGUGGCAGUGGGGGAAGCGGAGGAGGAAAAUAAAUUUUGAGGAUCAAAUUGAGACAAUUUGUAAAUUUUGAGGGUUAAUUUUUUUAACUUAUGACUAAAUUGAUAUAAUAUGUAAAAGUUGAGGCUAAAUUUGUUAUUAUACUGAUUUUUAAUUGCCACGUCACCCUUUUGUCAAAUAUUUAACGGCAGUUAAUGAAAU